UACGUAGGCAGCGAGCGUUGUUCGGAAUUACUGGGCGUAAAGAGUGUGUAGGCGGUGUUCCCAGUCUGUUGUGAAAUCUCCCGGCUUAACUGGGAGGGUGCAGCGGAAACUAGAAUGCUAGAGGGUGGGAGAGGUAAGCGGAAUUCCUGGUGUAGCGGUGAAAUGCGCAGAUAUCGGGAAGAACACCCGUGGCGAAGGCGGUUCUCUGGGACGGUACUGACGCUGAGACGCGAAAGCGUGGGGAGCGAACAGG
rnacentral:rRNA from 1 species